rnacentral:piRNA from 1 species
UUAUUGGAAACACUAUAGCUUGGCU